rnacentral:rRNA from 1 species
GACGAACGCUGGCGGCGUGCUUAACACAUGCAAGUCGAACGGAAAGGCCCUGCUUUUGUGGGGUGCUCGAGUGGCGGACGGGUGAGUAACACGUGAGAACCUGCCCUUGACUUUGGGAUAACUUCAGGAAACUGGGGCUAAUACCGGAUAGGAGCUCCUGCUGCAUGGUGGGGGUUGGAAAGUUUCGGCGGUUGGGGAUGGACUCGCGGCUUAUCAGCUUGUUGGUGGGGUAGUGGCUUACCAAGGCUUUGACGGGUAGCCGGCCUGUGAGGGUGACCGGCCACAUUGGGACUGAGAUACGGCCCAGACUCCUACGGGAGGCAGCAGUGGGGAAUAUUGCACAAUGGGCGGAAGCCUGAUGCAGCAACGCCGCGUGCGGGAUGACGGCCUUCGGGUUGUAAACCGCUUUCGCCUGUGACGAAGCGUGAGUGACGGUAAUGGGUAAAGAAGCACCGGCUAACUACGUG